CAAUCAAUGAUGAUUCUCAAAGAUUCCCUGGAAAGCUGAACAAAAUGAGUGGUUACUUAAGACAACCACUCAUGUCUAGACUGAGAUUU